CUGCCCGGGGAGGCCCAGGAGGGGCCCGGGCCCGGGGCCGCGCGAGGACGGCUGCAGGAGGUGCGCGGACACCCCGCGGCGCAGGGGGCCUCCCCCGCCGAGGAGGCGGAGAGCGGGGGGCGGGCGGGCGGCGCGUGCCUCUUACCGUCGGAAUUGGUCUCGGGAUCGAAGCGCUGCCCGCAGCCGCGGUUGUAGCACAGCAAGGACAUUUUCCGUUCCCACCGUCACGCGCAAGGCCAAAACACAGGGACCGGCGAGAGGAUGCGUCGGCCGCUCCCGCGUCCCCAGCACCGGUCUGACGACCCAGGCGACUGCCGGCUUCCGGAAACGCUCAGUGGCGUUUCAGGAACCUUCGCGAAUUUUCCGGUCGCGCAGGCGCAGCGGAGAAGGAAAGCGGCGGAGGAAGCGGUAGGAGGCCGGCGCUAGCCCCGGGUCGGACUGCUGCCGCUGGUAGCCGCCGGGGGUCGGAGCUGGAGCCCAGACAGCAGCGGAGGAGAAAUGCACAAUGCGCGGGGCAGCCACUGAAGGCGUGCGGGAGGCUGACAGCUGCCUCCCGACCUCCCCAGCCCGCCCUGGCAGCGCGCGUCUCCUCUCAGCCCCUGCGGCCCGGCGUCCUCCUUCCCUGCCUUGAGGCAGCGCCUUAGGCAGCCCGAAGACUGCCAGGACCAUUGCUUGCUUCAAGUCUCAGGUGGAGUUAUUUUAUAGCAAACCAGGCAUGGAAGCCCAGCUGUGGGAUUCUCUUCUACUUGGAAAUUGCCUCAAGAUGGAUUAUCUACAACCCGGCUACAACUGACAUGGUACCAGCUGGAUAUGAGCAGCUGGAACUCCAGGUGGACAAUAAUUCAAGAUAACACUUGGAGAAAGACAUGGAGAGCUGCACCCUGUGCUACUUCUGUGUGUUUCUCCUACCAAACCUCUACUUUUAAACCCCUCCCCUCAUCCAAACACCUAAAAUGGUCUUUUAAAGAGAUAAGCCUGGCGGUUUCCCAGUUGCUGGCAUUCGAUGAAUAAAACUGCUUUCCUUUCA